rfam:Aedes albopictus isolate Foshan contig22990, whole genome shotgun sequence.
AGCUCGGUAGCUUAGUUGGUAAAGCACUUGUCUAGCCUUUAAGGGUCGUGAGUUCAAAUCGCACAUGAGCUG